AAAGAUUAAGCCAUGCACGUCCAAGUAUGAACGAGAUCAUACAGUGAGACUGCGGAUGGCUCAUUAUAUAAGUUAUCGUUUAUUUGAUAGCACAUUUACCUACUUGGAUAACCGUGGUAAUUCUAGAGCUAAUACAUGCUAAAAAUCCCGACUUCGGAAGGGAUGUAUUUAUUAGAUUAAAAGCCGACGCCCUUCGGGGCUUCUUGGUGAUUCAUGAUAACUGGUCGAAUCGCAUGGCCUUGCGCCGGCGAUGGUUCAUUCAAAUUUCUUCCCUAUCAACUUUCGAUGCGAAGGUAUUGUCUUCGCAUGGUUG
rnacentral:rRNA from 1 species